CACGAACGCUGGCGGCGUGCCUAAUACAUGCAAGUAGAACGCUGAAGAGAGGAGCUUGCUCUUCUUGGAUGAGUUGCGAACGGGUGAGUAACGCGUAGGUAACCUGCCUUGUAGCGGGGGAUAACUAUUGGAAACGAUAGCUAAUACCGCAUAACAAUGGAUGACCCAUGUCAUUUAUUUGAAAGGGGCAAAUGCUCCACUACAAGAUGGACCUGCGUUGUAUUAGCUAGUAGGUGAGGUAACGGCUCACCUAGGCGACGAUACAUAGCCGACCUGAGAGGGUGAUCGGCCACACUGGGACUGAGACACGGCCCAGACUCCUACGGGAGGCAGCAGUAGGGAAUCUUCGGCAAUGGGGGCAACCCUGACCGAGCAACGCCGCGUGAGUGAAGAAGGUUUUCGGAUCGUAAAGCUCUGUUGUAAGUCAAGAACGAGUGUGAGAGUGGAAAGUUCACACUGUGACGGUAGCUUACCAGAAAGGGACGGCUAACUACGUG
rnacentral:rRNA from 1 species